AACGAACGCUGGCGGCAUGCCUAACACAUGCAAGUCGAACGAGACCUUCGGGUCUAGUGGCGCAAGGGUGCGUAACGCGUGGGAACCUGCCCUUAGGUUCGGAAUAACUCCCCGAAAGGGGUGCUAAUACCGGAUAAUGUCUUCGGACCAAAGAUUUAUCGCCUUUGGAUGGGCCCGCGUUGGAUUAGCUAGUUGGUAGGGUAAAAGCCUACCAAGGCGACGAUACAUAGCUGGUCUGAGAGGAUGAUCAGCCACACUGGGACUGAGACACGGCCCAGACUCCUACGGGAGGCAGCAGUGGGGAAUAUUGGACAAUGGGCGAAAGCCUGAUCCAGCAAUGCCGCGUGAGUGAUGAAGGCCUUAGGGUUGUAAAGCUCUUUUACCCGGGAUGAUAAUGACAGUACCGGGAGAAUAAGCUCCGGCUAACUCCGUG
rnacentral:rRNA from 1 species